GUUUUGAAGAAUUAUAAUUUUAAGUUUAAUCUGCUCAAUGAAAUUUUAAAUGGCUGCAGUAUUUUAACUGUACAAAGGUAGCAUAAUAAUUAGUUUUUUAAUUGGAAACUAGAAUGAAUGAUUGGAUGAGAUAUAAACUUUAUUAGAAUUAUUAAAUAAAAUUAUAUUUUAAGUUAAAAUAUUUAAAUGAUUUUUAAAGACGAGAAGACCCUAAAGAAUUUUUAUAUUUUAUUUAUUUUAAUUUAAAUAAAAUAUUUUAGUUGGGGCAAUUUUAAAAUUUAAUUAAUUUUUAAUUUUAAAUAACAAAAAUUUUUGAAUUUAAAAUAAUUUUUUAAAAAAUAAAAUUAAAUUACCUUAGGGAUAACAGCAUAAUUUUUUUUUAAAGUUCAAAUUUAUAAAAAAGUUUAU
rnacentral:rRNA from 1 species